rnacentral:rRNA from 1 species
CCUACGGGAGGCAGCAGUGGGGAAUUUUGGACAAUGGGCGCAAGCCUGAUCCAGCAAUGCCGCGUGAGUGAAGAAGGCCUUCGGGUUGUAAAGCUCUUUUGUCAGGGAAGAAACGGUGGAGGUUAAUACCUUCUGCUAAUGACGGUACCUGAAGAAUAAGCACCGGCUAACUACGUGCCAGCAGCCGCGGUAAUACGUAGGGUGCAAGCGUUAAUCGGAAUUACUGGGCGUAAAGCGUGCGCAGGCGGUUGUGCAAGACAGAUGUGAAAUCCCCGGGCUCAACCUGGGAAUUGCAUUUGUGACUGCACGGCUAGAGUGUGUCAGAGGGGGGUAGAAUUCCACGUGUAGCAGUGAAAUGCGUAGAGAUGUGGAGGAAUACCGAUGGCGAAGGCAGCCCCCUGGGAUAACACUGACGCUCAUGCACGAAAGCGUGGGGAGCAAACAGGAUUAGAUACCCUGGUAGUCCACGCCCUAAACGAUGUCUACUAGUUGUCGGGUCUUAAUUGACUUGGUAACGCAGCUAACGCGUGAAGUAGACCGCCGUGGGGGUAGGUACGGUUCGCGAAGAAGUUAAACGUUAACGAAAGUUAGAGUUAGUUACGGGCGUUGGAGACGUUCGCCGAACGGACGACCGACGAGGGGAGGAGGAGG